rnacentral:rRNA from 1 species
AUUGGAGGCACUGCCUGCCCAGUGACGACCGUUAAACGGCCGCGGUAUCCUGACCGUGCAAAGGUAGCAUAAUCACUUGUUCUCUAAAUAGGGACUUGUAUGAAUGGCCACACGAGGGUUUUACUGUCUCUUACUUCCAAUCAGUGAAAUUGACCUUCCCGUGAAGAGGCGGGAAUAUAUUAAUAAGACGAGAAGACCCUAUGGAGCUUUAACUACUUAGCCCAAAGAGACAAAUUUCAUUACCAAGGAAACAACAACACUCUUUAUGGGCUAACAGCUUUGGUUGGGGUGACCUCGGAGAACAAGAAAACCUCCGAGCGAUUUUAAAGACUAGACCUACAAGUCGAAUCACGCAAUCGUUUAUUGAUCCAAAAAAUUGAUCAACGGAACAAGUUACCCUAGGGAUA